rnacentral:pre_miRNA from 1 species
CUAUUACUCCCUCCGUUCGGAAUUACUUGUCGCAAAAAUGGAUGUAUCUAGAUGUAUUUUAGUUCUAGAUACAUCCAUUUCCAAGACAAGUAAUUCCGAACGGAAGGAGUACUUC